GCCUGGGUGGCGGAACUGGUAGACGCAAGGGACUUAAAAUCCCUCGGUCGUUUCGACCGUGCCGGUUCAACUCCGGCCCUAGGCACCA
rnacentral:tRNA from 1 species